UUGAAAUAAGUUACCAUUUGGGAAACAUACCAUGGAUGAGAUGUAAUCCUGAAUAUAUCAUAUUCCCAAUAUUGAGCACAAUAUAGCAUGUAUAAGUUAGUGUUCACUUGCAUGACCAGUAAUUUUUGUGUAAGGAGACUACAAAUAAUUGUGAGUCGGAAUUGAUUUUGUGAAAUUAACAUUUAGUUGGUAAAAGCUUGGUAAUCUUAUAGACUUUAAAAUGGAGCAGGCAAAGAAUUCUAGAAGACAGAGCUAGGAUUUAGCUUGACAACUCCAUUAGUGUGACAUGUAAACGCGAGUUAAAUGAAGCCUAACACCACAUUAGGAAAUGUGAUGCUUCAGGAAGUUUGUAUGUGCCUUAUGUAGUUAUUGGAGAACCAUGGUGCACUAAGGUUUUGUGAGUGUUCUCAUACCUGUUAGAUUUGUCGGCAUCACUCUCAGUAAAAUCAAUUCUUCUUUUUGCAUUGAUCCUGAUUGUAAUGUACAUCAUAGAUGUAAAGUAGUGUUGAUCAGAGGAAUACAAUAAGAUGGAGGUUUAUGAAAGAUUACAUGUAGCAGCAUAUAAAAAAGAGAAAGCAUUUGAGAAGGGAAAAAGACUAACAUUCAAUUCCAUUUGGACUUUCACAUAAAAGUAUCAUUGUGACAAGUCAUAUAAUGGAGAAGCAAUAAGAGAGAUGUUUAAAAUCCAAGUUUAUGAAGCAUUACCUAUUUUCGUUUUCCUUUAUGCUGAUAGACAUUGGCUUAUGAGUUGCAAGAGUAUUGUCAUUGGUGGUUGUAUCCUCGCCUGACUAAAAAAGCUUCACACAUUAUGUUAAUAACCAUGAUAUAUGAAGGACAUAAUUUAUAGGGUACUUGGCAGACGAAUCAGUGUUCAUUCCUAUGUAGAAUAACUUUUCUUUACCAAUGGCCUUAUCCGGGGU